rnacentral:lncRNA from 1 species
GUCUAAUCCAAACAUUAUCUACUUUCUUCAGUUUCAUCUGAUUCACAAUCGCUUCGCCGAAGAUAAGUGUAGUCUUUGCAGAUUCUUCAUUCAAAAACGAUACCUUGAAGUGCUUGAGAACCUUUGUAACCAACUGCGGAUAAGGCAACAUAAUCUUACUGUGUGAAGCUUCUAACAUGUGCCUUAGCACAAUCCACGUCCAACUCAUCUUAAGCUCCUUGGACAAUCCCCAUAACAGUAUAAUAUCAAGCUUCUGAACAACCGCGUGAUUUCCUGAUCGAGGUACAAGCAUUCUUGUUAAUGUAUACAUGAGCAUGCGUUGCUGUACCUUCAUCUGACC